ACUGGCGGCCGAGGUAGAGGCAGUGGCGCUUGAGUUGGUCAGGGGCAGCGGCAGAUUUGAGGCUUAAGCAACUUCUUCCGGGGAAAAGUGCCAGUGCAGCCGCUGUUGCAAUUCAAGAUCUUGAUCUAUAUCCAUAGAUUGGAAUAUUGGUGGGCCAGCAAUCCUCAGACACCUCACUUAGGACAGGCUGUAAAAAUUAAAAUGAACAAACUACGGCAAAGUUUUAGGAGAAAGAAGGAUGUUUAUGUUCCAGAGGCCAGUCGUCCACAUCAGUGGCAGACAGAUGAAGAAGGUGUUCGCACUGGAAAAUGUAGCUUCCCGGUUAAGUACCUUGGCCAUGUAGAAGUUGAUGAAUCAAGAGGAAUGCACAUCUGUGAAGAUGCUGUAAAAAGAUUGAAAGCUACUGGAAAGAAAGCUGUUAAAGCAGUUCUGUGGGUCUCAGCAGAUGGACUCAGAGUUGUGGAUGAAAAAACUAAGGACCUCAUAGUUGACCAGACGAUAGAGAAAGUUUCUUUCUGUGCCCCAGAUAGGAACUUUGAUAGAGCCUUUUCUUACAUAUGUCGUGAUGGCACCACUCGUCGCUGGAUCUGUCACUGCUUCAUGGCUGUCAAGGACACAGGUGAAAGGUUGAGCCAUGCAGUAGGCUGUGCUUUUGCAGCCUGUUUAGAGCGCAAGCAGAAGCGGGAGAAGGAAUGUGGAGUGACUGCUACUUUUGAUGCUAGUCGGACCACUUUUACAAGAGAAGGAUCAUUCCGUGUCACAACAGCCACUGAACAAGCAGAAAGAGAGGAGAUCAUGAAACAAAUGCAAGAUGCCAAGAAAGGUACAAUCUGUUCUACAGUGUGUAUUUAUGGAAUGCAGUUUUUCCCAACAAGUUAUUAUUUUGAAGCUACCAGGGGUAAGUAAGUUUUCUCAUAAUCAAAGAGAACCCUUAGCAAUAUAAAACCUUAUAACAAAGUUGAAAAUCUUAAAAACUGCUUCCUUUAGAGUGGCUAGUUUAAUGGCUUCAAAAAUAUUUACUCCAUUAUAGUAAGCUAUCUGAGGAAUCAGAGUGCAGUUGAAGAAGCUGCAGAGACAUCUCUUACCCCCUUCCUCCCAUCCUGAAAUACCUUUUUAAUUCUGAUGCAUCUGAUCUCUGUGAGAAGCAAAUGAAUCAAGUACCUGCAUCUUAAAGGAAGCAGCACAGGUCCCAGGGCUUAAGGCUGCAAACCAUCCACGAACUAUGAUGCUAGCGGAGAGAUUGAACAGUAAUACUGUUUAUAUGAGAUUAUUGCUGUUUUUUAGUGCUUUCUAGUCACAAAAGUCUAUAGAUUUUGAGAGGUAAGCCUGUAACUCUUUUUCCUAUAGCCCUGUUAAUUUAAUGUAGUGUGUGAUUUUAUAGAGUGUGAGUUUUAUUUAGGUACAGAUGGCAUCACAGCAGAAAUGCCUGUACAAACAUUCAAGUUAGUCGGCAGUCUAUAAAUGUGAGUUGGGUAUAUUUUAGAACUAAAUGAUAGGGCUUGAAAAUACUUUUGCAUUCUUGUAUAUAAGUAGGGUUAAAACCAACAAGACAAGCACAAACAAUUCAGGUUAACUAAUAGACAUUAAUAUAAUUUUGAGGCCAGGUAUAGUGGCUCACAGCUGUAAUCUCAAUACUUUAGGAGGCUGAGGAGGAAAGAUCACUUGAGGCCAGGAGUUUGUGACCAGACUGUGCAACAUAGACUCUAUCCCUAAAGAAAAAAAAAAAAAAA
rnacentral:sRNA from 1 species